rnacentral:rRNA from 1 species
UCUAACAUGUGCGCGAGUCAAUGGGUCCUCUCAAAACCCAGAGGCGCAAUGAAACGUGAAGGCAGCUCAGCUGCCUUCGUGACGCGCUGUUGCUUUCCCGGGACUCGUCCAGGGUCCGAUGAAGGGAGCAGCAACGGCGACUCGCCCCACAGCUAGCUCACGUCGUGGACGACGUGAGCUAGCUCUAGAGCACACGUUGGA